GGGGUAUUCCCGGAAAGUGCUCCCGAAAAUUGAAGGGAAAUGUAACCAGAUGGCUAGUGUUGCAAAAUGCUUACUUGGUCUUCUACUCUCAGGCCGAUCUCGCACCAUUGUGUCUGAUUCUGAGAGAACCUCAAGAUUGUGUGAGGCUCUUGAAUCACUUGACUCGGCACAUAAGAUGACCGGAGGAAGAAAUCCUAAUGUUCUUUUCUAUCUUAGUUUGGAGAAUGCAGAGCAGAGAAAGUUGGACAUUGCUCUCUAUUAUGCAAAGCAGCUAUUGAAGUUGGAGGGGGGUUCUACUGUCAAAGGAUGGCUUCUUCUAGCUCGCAUACUAUCUGCUCAAAAGAGGUAUAUAGAUGCGGAAAGCAUAAUUAAUGCUGCACUAGACGAAACAGGAAAAUGGAAUCAAGGAGAACUGCUCCGCACUAAAGCUAAACUACAGAUUGCCCAGGGUCAUCUGCGGGAUGCCGUGGAGACAUAUACUCAUCUUCUUGCAGUACUCCAGGUUCAGAGAAAAAGUUUUGGAGUUCACAAAAAGUUGUUAAAGAACACGAGAGACAACAGUAGAAGUUUAGAAAUGGAAACGUGGCACGAUCUAGCAAAUGUAUACACAAACUUGUCUCAGUGGCGUGAUGCAGAGGUUUGCCUAAUCAAAUCCGAGGCUAUCAAUCCUCAUUCUGCCUCGAGAUGCCACUCUGCAGGAUUACUCUAUCAAGCUAGGGGACUCUACAAAGAAGCCUUACAAUCUUUUCAGAAGUCUUUAGACAUAGAACCCAACCAUGUUCCAAGUUUAGUUUCCACUGCCAUUGUUCUUCGACAACUCGAUGGCCAAUCAUUGCCUGUCAUGAAAAGCUUUCUGACCGAUGCAUUACGGCUUGACAGAACAAAUCCUUCUGCCUGGUACAAUCUUGGAUUGGUUUACAAAAGUGAAAAUGGUGUAUCUGCACUCGAAGCUGCGGAAUGUUUCGAGGCUGCUGAACUUCUCCAAGAAUCUGCACCAGUUGAACCAUUCAGAUGAGUCCAAUAUUUUACCUACAGCUGAAUCAUCAUCCCACAUGUAAAAUUUUGCAGCUCCAUAGGGCAGAGAAUUGGAAACAAAAAUAUAUUAGCAUUAUUGUGUUAACUGUGUUUCUGUGGACUUGUAUUUAAGGUGGAUAAACUUUAGUGAUGUUCAU
rnacentral:misc_RNA from 1 species